UACGGAGGGCGCUAGCGUUGUUCGGAAUUACUGGGCGUAAAGCGCACGUAGGCGGCGAUUUAAGUCAGAGGUGAAAGCCCGGGGCUCAACCCCGGAAUAGCCUUUGAAACUAGAUUGCUUGAAUCCAGGAGAGGUGAGUGGAAUUCCGAGUGUAGAGGUGAAAUUCGUAGAUAUUCGGAAGAACACCAGUGGCGAAGGCGGCUCACUGGACUGGUAUUGACGCUGAGGUGCGAAAGCGUGGGGAGCAAACAGG
rnacentral:rRNA from 1 species